AGAUUGAACGCUGGCGGCAUGCCUAACACAUGCAAGUCGAACGGGAGUAGCAAUACUCUAGUGGCGGACGGGUGAGGAAUACGUAGGAAUUUGCCCUUAAGUGGGGGAUAACCCGGGGAAACCCGGAUUAAUACCGCAUGACCUCGAAAGAGCAAAGUGGGGGAUCGCAAGACCUCACGCUUUUGGAGAAGCCUACGUCGGAUUAGCUAGUUGGUGAGGUAAUGGCUCACCAAGGCGACGAUCCGUAACUGGUCUGAGAGGAUGAUCAGUCACACCGGAACUGAGACACGGUCCGGACUCCGUACGGGAGGCAGCAGUGGGGAAUAGUUAGGACAAAGUGGGGCGACGAACGCCGUAG
rnacentral:rRNA from 1 species